UAGGGAAUCUUCCGCAAUGGACGCAAGUCUGACGGAGCAACGCCGCGUGAGUGAAGAAGGAUUUCGGUUCGUAAAACUCUGUUGUUAGAGAAGAACAGCGCAUAGAGUAACUGUUAUGCGUGUGACGGUAUCUAACCAGAAAGCCACGGCUAACUACGUGCCAGCAGCCGCGGUAAUACGUAGGUGGCAAGCGUUGUCCGGAUUUAUUGGGCGUAAAGCGAGCGCAGGCGGUCAAUUAAGUCUGAUGUGAAAGCCCCCGGCUCAACCGGGGAGGGUCAUUGGAAACUGGUUGACUUGAGUGCAGAAGAGGGGAGUGGAAUUCCAUGUGUAGCGGUGAAAUGCGUAGAUAUAUGGAGGAACACCAGUGGCGAAGGCGACUCUCUGGUCUGUAACUGACGCUGAGGUUCGAAAGCGUGGGUAGCAAACAGG
rnacentral:rRNA from 1 species